rnacentral:rRNA from 1 species
UACGGAAGGGGCAAGCGUUGUUCGGAAUCAUUGGGCGUAAAGGGCGCGUAGGUGGUUCUGUAUGUCUACCGUGAAAGCGUACGGCUCAACCGUAUUUUGUCGGUGGAAACUGCAGGACUCGAGGCUGGGAGGGGCUGGUGGAAUUCCCUGUGUAGCGGUGAAAUGCGUAGAGAUGGGGGAGAACACUCGUGGCGAAGGCAGCUCUCUGGGACGGUACUGACGCUGAGACGCGAAAGCGUGGGGAGCGAACAGG